rnacentral:misc_RNA from 1 species
GAUGAAGAACGUAGCGAAAUGCGAUAAGUAGUGUGAAUUGCAGAAUUCAGUGAAUCAUCGAAUCUUUGAACGCACAUUCCGCCUUCUAGUAUUCUGGGAGGCAUGCCUGUUUGAGCGUCAUUAAACCUCUCUCAAGUAUGAUUACUUGGAUGUGAAGGAAGAGUACCUUAAACUUAAGGAGUGUUCUCCUUUGAAAUUGAUUAGCAGAUGGUAAUGUUAUUAAAUCCCUGAUGUUGUAAGAAAUAACAGUGGUUUUGUAGACUAUUAUCUAGCUUUAAAUUAUAAUUUUUAUUAUGGUUGACCUCAAAUCAGGUAAGGAUACCCGCUGAACUUAAGCAUAUCAAUAAGCGGAGGA